ACGGCAAUAGCUCAAUUGGCAGAGCAUCGGUCUCCAAAACCGAAGGUUGGGGGUUCAAGUCCCUCUUGCCGUGCGA
rnacentral:tRNA from 1 species